UACGGAGGGCAGCAGUGGGGAAUAUUGCACAAUGGGCGAAAGCCUGAUGCAGCUAUGCCGCGUGUAUGAAGAAGGCCUUAGGGUUGUAAAGUACUUUCAUCGGGGAGGAAAAACAAAACUAAUAAUUUUAUUUCUUGACGUUACCCGAAAAAGAAGCACCGGCUAACUCCGUGCCAGCAGCCGCGGUAAUACGGAGGGUGCUAGCGUUAAUCAGAAUUACUGGGCGUAAAGAGCACGUAGGUGGUUUUUUUAAGUCAGAUGUGAAAUCCCUGGGCUUAACCUAGGAACUGCAUUUUGAAACUGAAAUACUAGAGUAUCGUAGAGGGAGGUAGAAUUCUAGGUGUAGCGGUGAAAUGCGUAGAUAUCUGGAGGAAUACCUGUGGCGAAAGCGGCCUCCUAAACGAAUACUGACACUGAGGUGCGAAAGCGUGGGGAGCAAACGAGGGAUUAGAUACC
rnacentral:rRNA from 1 species